rnacentral:rRNA from 1 species
AGCAGCCGCGGUAAUUCCAGCUCCAAUAGCGUAUAUUAAAGUUGUUGCAGUUAAAAAGCUCGUAGUUGAAUUUCGGGAUUAGUACGUUGGUCGUGCCUUCGGUACGUACUGGUGUUACUGAUUCCUACCUUCUGACGAACCAUCAUGUCAUUAAUUUGGUGUGGUGGGGAAUCAGGACUGUUACUUUGAAAAAAUUAGAGUGUUUAAAGCAGGCUCGCGCUUGAAUACAUUAGCAUGGAAUAAUGAAAUAGGACGUUGAUCCUAUUUUGUUGGUUUCUAGGAUUGACGUAAUGAUUAAUAGGGAUAGUUGGGGGCAUUAGUAUUCAAUUGUCAGAGGUGAAAUUCUUGGAUUUAUUGAAGACUAACUACUGCGAAAGCAUUUGCCAAGGAUGUUUUCAUUAAUCAAGAACGAAAGUUAGGGGAUCGAAGACGAUCAGAUACCGUCGUAGUCUUAACCAUAAACUAUGCCGACUAGGGAUCGGAUGAUGUUAUUUUUAAUGACUCAUUCGGCGCCUUACGG